GAUGAACGCUGGCGGCGUGCCUAAUACAUGCAAGUCGAGCGAACAGACGAGGAGCUUGCUCCUCUGACGUUAGCGGCGGACGGGUGAGUAACACGUGGAUAACCUACCUAUAAGACUGGGAUAACUUCGGGAAACCGGAGCUAAUACCGGAUAAUAUAUUGAACCGCAUGGUUCAAUAGUGAAAGACGGUUUUGCUGUCACUUAUAGAUGGAUCCGCGCCGCAUUAGCUAGUUGGUAAGGUAACGGCUUACCAAGGCAACGAUGCGUAGCCGACCUGAGAGGGUGAUCGGCCACACCGGAGCUGAGACACGGUCCAGACUCCUACGGGAGGCAGCAGUAGGGAAUCUUCCGCAAUGGGCGAAAGCCUGACGGAGCAACGCCGCGUGAGUGAUGAAGGUCUUCGGAUCGUAAAACUCUGUUAUUAGGGAAGAACAAAUGUGUAAGUAACUAUGCACGUCUUGACGGUACCUAAUCAGAAAGCCACGGCUAGCUACGU
rnacentral:rRNA from 1 species